GUGGGGAAUAUUGCACAAUGGGCGCAAGCCUGAUGCAGCAACGCCGCGUGAGGGACGACGGCCUUCGGGUUGUAAACCUCUUUUAGCAGGGAAGAAGCGAAAGUGACGGUACCUGCAGAAAAAGCACCGGCUAACUACGUGCCAGCAGCCGCGGUAAUACGUAGGGUGCAAGCGUUGUCCGGAAUUAUUGGGCGUAAAGAGCUCGUAGGCGGUUUGUCGCGUCUGCUGUGAAAACCCGAGGCUCAACCUCGGGCCUGCAGUGGGUACGGGCAGACUAGAGUGCGGUAGGGGAGAUUGGAAUUCCUGGUGUAGCGGUGGAAUGCGCAGAUAUCAGGAGGAACACCAGCGGCGAAGGCGGCGCUCUGGGCCGGUACUGACACUGAGGAGCGAAAGCGUGGGUAGCAAACAGGAUUAGAUAUCCGAGUAGUCC
rnacentral:rRNA from 1 species